UACAGAGGGUGCAAGCGUUGUUCGGAAUUAUUGGGCGUAAAGCGCGCGUAGGCGGCUUUUCAAGUCGAUUGUGAAAUCCCCGGGCUUAACCUGGGAACUGCAGUCGAGACUGUCUAGCUAGAGUAUGGGAGAGGGAAGUGGAAUUUCAGGUGUAGCGGUGAAAUGCGUAGAUAUCUGAAGGAACAUCAGUGGCGAAAGCGACUUCCUGGACCAAUACUGACGCUCAUGUGCGAAAGCGUGGGGAGCAAACAGG
rnacentral:rRNA from 1 species